GUGGGGAAUCUUCCGCAAUGGACGAAAGUCUGACGGAGCAACGCCGCGUGAGUGAAGAAGGUCUUCGGAUCGUAAAGCUCUGUUGUACGGGACGAAUGUUGAAGGCGUGAAUAAUGCCAUCAAAUGACGGUACUGUACGAGGAAGCCACGGCUAACUACGUGCCAGCAGCCGCGGUAAUACGUAGGUGGCGAGCGUUGUCCGGAAUUAUUGGGCGUAAAGGGAGCGCAGGUGGGAAGGUAAGUCUGUUUUAAAAGCGUCGGGCUCAACCCGAUGAGGGAACAGAAACUAUUUUUCUUGAGUGCAGGAGAGGAAAGCGGAAUUCCUAGUGUAGCGGUGAAAUGCGUAGAUAUUAGGAGGAACACCAGUGGCGAAGGCGGCUUUCUGGACUGUAACUGACACUGAGGCUCGAAAGCCAGGGGAGCGAACGGGAUUAGAAACCCUGGUAGUCC
rnacentral:rRNA from 1 species